AUGUGUGUACCCGGCGCUGCCGAACUCGUAGAGCUUGCCGCGGCUGGAGAAGAUGAUGAGCGCCACCUCGGCGUCGCAGAGCACGGAGAGCUCGUAGGCCUUCUUGAGCAGGCCGUUGCGGCGCUUGGAGAAGGUGACCUGCCGAUUGAUCUUGUUCUCGAUGCGCUUCAGCUCGACCCUUCCCCUCCCCAUGAUCUCCUCCUCCUCCUCCUCCUUCCAAGCAAGCAAGCAAGCAAAGCUCUACCGAUCAGCAAGCUAGCUCUGCGCUCUUCCUCCUGCGGCGGUUCUGAUGCGCAACCUACUAGCGCAUAG
rnacentral:rRNA from 1 species